ACUUUGUAAACUCCAAAACAUAAAAAUUCGCCCAGGAACAUGAGCAUGGUCAAGACGACGGGAUGUUGAAAACGAUGCGGCUUUCCAUCACUGCCCUCCACAUUUUGAUUGCUCACCCAUCUACAAUGCACCUGGAUAAUAAUAUUUUCGUGAUAAUUAACUGGAAAUUUAAUUGUACAUUUUAGCUUGCCAAAGCCUGCCAGACCAUUAAAAGCUUUGCGUUGCCAGACAAUAAAUAAAAGCUGGAAAUCAGCUGUUUUGUUUAUAACUCUGCGGAGGGCGCGCCAAAUGAAAUUUAAAAUGCCAGUCGUACAUUUUUGCAUUUUAUUUUAUUAAAACCAAACUUAAAAAAUAUCACAGGAUAUGGAAAUUAAAAAGAGCAUUUAAAUGAAUUUAUGUAUGUGCAUGUCAAUUGCAUUUAAGCCGUCUUGGUUGCAUUUUGUGUGUUUUUCCUGGGAAAGUAAAAUGACAAAAUAAAUAAAUUAUUAAAAAUGUUUUAA